CCCAGACUCCUACGGGAGGCAGCAGUGGGGAAUAUUGCACAAUGGGGGGAACCCUGAUGCAGCGACGCCGCGUGAGUGAAGAAGUAUUUCGGUAUGUAAAGCUCUGUCAGCAGGGAAGAAGAAAGACGGUACCUGACCAAGAAGCCCCGGCUAACUACGUGCCAGCAGCCGCGGUAAUACGUAGGGGGCAAGCGUUAUCCGGAUUUACUGGGUGUAAAGGGAGCGUAGACGGCAGUGCAAGUCUGGAGUGAAAGGCGGGGGCUCAACCCCCGGACUGCUCUGGAAACUGUACGGCUGGAGUGCAGGAGAGGUAAGUGGAAUUCCUAGUGUAGCGGUGAAAUGCGUAGAUAUUAGGAGGAACGCCAGUGGCGAAGGCGGCUUACUGGACUGUAACUGACGUUGAGGCUCGAAAGCGUGGGGAGCAAACAGGAUUAGAUACCCGGGUA
rnacentral:rRNA from 1 species